UACGAAGGGGGCUAGCGUUGUUCGGAUUUACUGGGCGUAAAGCGCACGUAGGCGGUUUGUUAAGUCAGGGGUGAAAUCCCAGAGCUCAACUCUGGAACUGCCUUUGAUACUGGCAAGCUAGAGUCCGGAAGAGGUAAGUGGAACUCCUAGUGUAGAGGUGGAAUUCGUAGAUAUUAGGAAGAACACCGGUGGCGAAGGCGGCCAUCUGGCUCGGUACUGACGCUCAGGCGCGAAAGCGUGGGGAGCAAACAGG
rnacentral:rRNA from 1 species